rnacentral:rRNA from 1 species
GAUGAACGCUGGCGGCGUGCCUAACACAUGCAAGUCGAGCGAUCUUCUUCGGAAGAGAGCGGCGGACGGGUGAGUAACGCGUGGGUAACCUGCCUCAUACACAUGGAUAACAUACCGAAAGGUAUGCUAAUACAAGAUGAUAUAAGAGAUUCGCAUGGAUUUCUUAUCAAAGCUUUUGCGGUAUGAGAUGGACCCGCGUCUGAUUAGCUAGUUGGUAAGGUAAUGGCUUACCAAGGCGACGAUCAGUAGCCGACCUGAGAGGGUGAUCGGCCACAUUGGAACUGAGACACGGUCCAAACUCCUAGGGGAGGCAGCAGUGGGGAAUAUUGCACAAUGGGCGAAAGCCUGAUGCAGCAACGCCGCGUGAGCGAUGAAGGCCUUCGGGUCGUAAAGCUCUGUCCUCAAGGAAGAUAAUGACGGUACUUGAGGAGGAAGCCCCGGCUAACUACGUGCCAGCAGCCGCCGUAAUAC